ACUAUCGCCAUCUGUAAUGGCUACCGUUUCAAAAACAUGUCAUAUUUUGGUAUUUUUUCCGAAAGUUUUUUAUUCGAUUAUCUAGCUCAUUUAAACGUUCCCGUAUCAUUUAAACUAAAGUUAAUAAUUUUAGUUUUUCAAUUAAUCCAUGCGAGGAUAACAUAAUAGACGCUGAUAAAUGUAAAAUAUCAAUUAAAUCAGUAAAUUAAGAGAGAUGUGAAAGCAGUCACUAAUGAACAUAAUAAGAAGUUCUUAAUAUAUUAUUGUAACUCUAUUUGAAGCUAAUGAUAGAAUAUUGAUUAAAAUUUAUCAAAUAAAGUGGAUUUAUACUUCAUGAACUUUAGAAAUAUAAAAUCUAGUGAACAAAACUAAGUAAUGGUUACUAAGAAAAAGAGAAAAGAAAAUAUGUUUAUUUUGAAACAUAAGAUCAUCAUGGUAUCACUUAUUCCUCAUCAUCAAAUCCGAGCCUGAUGGCAUCCCUACUCAUUGGCAAAGAAGACAGAGGAUGUUGGCUGAGAGAAAAAGCCGGCGUAAAAAACUCGUGGUACUCUUUUUAAAAAAAGAAGAGAAGCAAAUAAGACAACUAAAAGCUAACCACAAAUGGACAAGUUUUAUUGGUCUUAGCUUUUAAUUAAUUUAAGUGUUAUAUUAUAUACCUGAGAAUGAAUUUGUUAAAGAGGGUUGAAGUAUUUUAUGAAUAAUGUAAAAAAUAAGAGGAGUGGAGUAAGAAAUAAUGGUUGGUUAAGUAACAUUACCUCAAGAACUGGAAACAGUAACUGAAACUAUAUUCUUCCACAUUUAAUCUUAAUUAGUUCAGCAGUUUGAAUGUGGAUGAGAUAUUUAUUAUAAACAAACUGCAUUUGUAGAUUUUCGGAAGAACUAUAUCUUUAUAAUAACUAUUAUUAUAUAUGUACCAUCAUUCUCUCAAGGAAACAAUCACUUUUUUUUAAUCGCUUUAAAUCAUGAUGAUAGUAGUUAUGUUAACCGAUUACAAUUUUCAGCACCGAUUCAAACCGAUUACUGUUACAAAAAAAAACAGUAUUUUUAGGUAGUGUUAGGCUUUUCCUUACUUUUUUGAAGACAACAGAACAAAGGGUUUUUUUUAUUUAACUACUAUAUUAAAAUCAAAUUAUCUUUUGCAAAAAAAAAACAUCUUAUUGCAUAAAAUGUUGACAUUUUGAUUAAGAAAACAGAUCUGGUCGACAGCAGCAGUAAUCCUAUAGAGUUCAAUGGUUCUAAAUGUUAGUGCUCCAAAAAAUGCCAGCACUUUCAGUUUCAUGGUGCUGGGGCUCUGUCUCCAUAAACAUGUGCAGUAUGUUAACUGGAUGCAGUUACAUUGUUAGUGGUUUUCCUUCGUUUCAAAAAGUCUAAUAUUUCUGGUUUUUUCGGUUCCAUAUUAAUUGUUUCCAUUGAAAUAUUAACUGCUUGUUCUGAAGUUGUUGCCAUAAUAUUGGUAUCAGAAUCUUUUAUUAAAUGAGACAAUUCUCUUCUUACUAUCUCAUUGGCAGCUUAACAUAUUUUCCGAGCGCCUAAAACCUGUUCUUAAUAUGGGAUGUAAGUACGUCGAAAUUUGAGUGACAGUUCUUGUUUCGUAUACUAAAAGCCUGCUACUCAUAUUUCGACGUACUGAUGAGAGCAAAACAUUUUGCCAAUAUCUGUUUUCAAAGCAUUUUCAAUCAAUCCACUUGGAAAUGGUAAUCAAAUUUUCAAACAAUCCACAAAUUAGUGGUAUAAUCAAUGAACUGGUCGGAUAUGUAUCGGCACUAACUAGCUUUGUCGCCUAUUCGAAUAUUUAUAAGAUCUUUACUCUUUAGUAUUUCUUUGCCCACUCUUUCUUCAUUGGCAGUUAAGUAUUCUGGAGCCUGGUUUAAUUUUGUACAUACUAAUGCCAGAACAUCGGAUACUUGAAGUUCCCGAGAUAUUCCGAAUUUGAUUUUUCCAAAAUGGCGGACAAAAUGGCCGUCAUUUUGUCCGCCAUUUUGGCCGCCUCGUGCUCGACCCGUUAAGUACGAAACCCGGGUAUGUAGAGUCGGCUCUUCUUUUUAACAACUUUUGUUCACAGUCCGGUACAAUCAGUUUGCAGGGAUGUCUUUUAUAAAUUUCUAAUGCUAAAGUUCGUUUUCUGGGUGAAAAACUCGUGAACGGCGGGAGAGGGGGGAGUUGUGGGGGAGAAUUUCAAAAUUAAUUUUUUUUGUAAUAAAAAUUAAACGCGCGGUGCAAGGCUUGUAUACUAUGUAUACAAGACUGCUGUCAGAAAAAUUUUGUAAAUUUUUCGGGAUUUUUGCAAAUUUCGGAAUUUAAAAGCUGGUAUGUGGAUAGUGUAUACAUAUACCGGGGUGACGUCAAAAUUGCCCUAUCUCCUACCGUUUCCGAGUUAUUCCCUGUUUUUUGAAGUAAGUCUUCCCGUCGGCUUUUCUCGGCAACCGCUGACUUGUUUUACUUACUGCACUCGACGGGAGCUUUCCAACGGUGUAUAUCACGCCUUCGAAAUCCCUCGGGAUCCCUAACCACGUUACACGUGGUUUUUAUGUUCUUGCUUAGUAACUUUUUUCUUUUUAACUCGGCCCUCUAUCGCCUUGUUGUUGUCAAGCCCCUUUUUAGUUUUAACUUAUUUUUAUCCAAACCUUUAGGCUUAAAAAUCCAAAUCGGGUAUCAGUAGAUGCGGCUCAAAAAGGCUCAUCCAACGAGUCCUUAAUCGGUAUAUGUCGUAGAUCUAUUUUAAGCGUCGCACUCACUUUUAUCACAGUAGGUAUAUAAUUUUUCAUUUUUUUUGCACUUUUUAUUAUUAACGUAGAGCAAAUUGAGCUCUAUUAGAUGACACAAUACUCUUAUUUUUAACUGCACUGUAAGUAUUUUUAGUUUUGUAAAAACCUGUUUUUUGAAAGUUUUUUGGCUAUUAAAAAUAUCAAAUGAAAAAAAUUAACGUUGAAUUUUGCAAUGUUAGACGCAGCGUAAUUCUGCAUCUACUGAUAUGUAACACCAUAUGAAAAACUUCUGAAAACUAUUUUUAAACAAUUAAAAACGAUUUUCUGCUCGCGGAGCGACACAGAUUUCGACCGUUUCGGGCGGCCGCGGCGUUUCGACGCGGACUGGUUAUGUUAGGUUAGGUUUUUUUUUUUAAUUGAAUCGCCUAAUGGCCUACUACACGGCACCGGGCAGGUCCGUGGCCGAGGAAGUUAAUCGAAAAAUCUUUAUUUUUGUUCACAUAUUUACAUAAAAUACAAUACAAUUUUAACAAAUGCAGAGUAAUUUUACAUAAAGUGGGUGUGGAUCUGCGGAGGAUGUAACUAUUCGAUACUCUGCUUUCCGCUGCAGAUCCGUUACAAUUAUAAUGGUGAGUGAGUGAGAGAGUUACAAUUAUAACUAAGAUUAAAAUUAAAUUUAACAAUCGUUUGGUGUAUAAAUAAUUAACAGUUGGGUGACGUAAAUUACGAUAUCGACAGCCCGGACUCUCAAAA